rfam:Weissella oryzae SG25 DNA, scaffold: sequence25.
UUAAAGGCUGUUUUAACAGCCCCAAUAAUUUUGAUUAAAUUAUUAU